AGAAAUGGUGUCAAUUAAGCCCCAUGUUGGGUUGCAGAUGUAGCAUUCUCCAUCCUUUGUGUGGAGUUCACGACCUGGUAUCUCAUUUCCGUGAAUACCCACAGUGCUUGUGCCACCUCCUCUUUUGAAACACCUUGGCUUGUGCCCUGGAAGCCUUGCUCCUCUCAAAAACAUCUCGCCGGGCACUUUGGGAGGCCGGGGCAGGCAGAUCAUUUGAGGCCAGGAGUUCGAGACCAGCCUGGCCAACAUGGCAAAACCUCGUCUCUACUAAAAAUAUAAAAAUUAGCCGGGCGUGGUGGCAGCGCGCCUGUAAUUCCAGCUACUCAGGAGGCCGAGGCAUGAGAAUCGCUUGAGCCCAGGAGGCAGAGAUUGCAGUGAGUGGAGAUCGCGCCAUUGUACUCCACCUUGGAAAUUACGACUUUGCAUGGAGAAAGUUGACCAGAAAGCUCCAGAAUACAUCAGGAUGGCAGCAUCAUUAAAUGCUGGGGAGACAACCUACAGUCUGGAACAUGCCAGUGACCUUCGAGUGGAA
rnacentral:sRNA from 1 species